AAUGUUUGACAUUCAGCCUCCAAUUUGCUCAGGUACACAAGCUAAGUAGGCGUUGUACAACACAAAAUGAAUAAUUGUGUGACAUUGAGUGGCACAUGUGCGAUGUUGCCAUAUGGCCAAGUAUGUAACAGAGAAGCAUGAAAAAGAAACCAAAAAUGAUAUCUCCAAUAAAAAGGAUUUUACAGUGGUGCUCAAAAGAUAGUGAACCCCACCAGAAAAUAAUAUUCAAAAUGCUGACAUCUUUAAGAUAUUUAAUUGUAAAUUCAGGUGAUAAAAUAAUAAGACAUUCAAUAAAGUUUGCCUCUCUGGGCUUGCCGAACAAUGUAGUGUUGCUGUCAACAUGUACAUUCAACACUCGUCACGAAAGAGCGCAUUUUGUGGUGUAGUUCACUAAUUUCUAAGCACAACUGUAUCAGAUGAUACAACAA